UUUUUUUGUAAAAGAGUUUUUAUAUAAUUUUUAAAUCCAUAAAUAAGACAAAACAAAGUAGGUUAGCAAAAAUAAUAUCAUAGGUAUUUUUAACUAAAAUUAAAGAGUAUCUUACAGAAAAAAUCACUAAAAAUACCUUUGAUUGAUACUUGUUCAAGACUUACUAUGAACCAAGAUUGAAACCGAAGGCACAAAACCAUACACCUAUGGCAAAUAUGGGGAUCUUUUGUUAAUCAAAGCGCAAAGUUAGAAUGCAAAAUUGACAAGGUUUCUUUUAGUGUUGGUUUUAAGGAAAUAAUGAAUUUGUGAGAGCUUUGCAAAGUCAAGGUUGUUUUGGAUGACUUUGUUUUUUUAAAAAUAAAAAUGAGAUAAUAUUUUUAUAAAUUAUAAGAGUUUUUUAGCAAAUCUAUAGGUGAAUUUUUAUUAUUUUUGUAAAAAUAUUUAUAUUGGAUGUGUGUUUUAAAAU
rnacentral:lncRNA from 1 species